rnacentral:tRNA from 1 species
GCUUAAGUAUUUUAAUGAAACUAUUGUUUUGUGGGUUCAAUGAUAUGAAUUUUUCAUCUUAGGCC